GAUCCUGGCUCAGGAUGAACGCUAGCUACAGGCUUAACACAUGCAAGUCGAGGGGAAACGACAUCGAAAGCUUGCUUUUGAUGGGCGUCGACCGGCGCACGGGUGAGUAACGCGUAUCCAACCUGCCCACCACUUGGGGAUAACCUUGCGAAAGUAAGACUAAUACCCAAUGACAUCCCACGAAGACAUCUGAAUGGGAUUAAAGGUUUAUCGGUGAUGGAUGGGGAUACGUCUGAUUAGCUUGUUGG
rnacentral:rRNA from 1 species